UACGAGGGGGGCGAGCGUUGUUCGGAAUUAUUGGGCGUAAAGGGUGCGUAGGCGGUUUGGUAAGUCUCUUGUGAAAUCUAUGGGCUCAACUCAUAGUCUGCAAGGGAAACUGCCGGGCUUGAGUGUGGGAGAGGUGAGUGGAAUUUCCGGUGUAGCGGUGAAAUGCGUAGAUAUCGGAAGGAACACCUGUGGCGAAAGCGGCUCACUGGACCACAACUGACGCUGAUGCACGAAAGCUAGGGGAGCAAAACAGG
rnacentral:rRNA from 1 species